rnacentral:rRNA from 1 species
CCCGGUGACUAGAGCGCGGUGGUACCACUUCUUCCCAUUUCGAACAGAGCAGUGAAACGCCGCAGCGGGGACGAUAGUUAUCGCUGGUCGAUAGCGAAAAUACCUCGUCGCCGGGA